GUAAAGGAAAGAGUUGCAGACCCUGAAACUAUGAAGUUAAUUGUCUUCAUUGAUCACAAGAGGUGUCAGAUAUAACAUCUGGGAACUAAAUUUGUAUGCAAUACCAUCCUCUCAAGCCAAGCCAAUGCUGCCAGAUUUCGACGUUUGAUCCCAGCUGCAGCAUGGGCAGCUCUUCUGGUGCUUCACUCCCACUGGGACCCAGAAGGGCAAGAGAGAAGGACUGCAAAAAUUACAAACAUGAAGAUCUUUCCGAAUCUUAACAGAAAAGGUGAAGUUUGAGGGCAUCCAGAGACUCAGAGGGGUCGAUAGACUUCAUUGAAUUCGAAAACAAUUUUCUGCUCCCCCCCAGAUGCUGUUUCUAAAAUUAGAUCAUCUUUCACUGCAACCCCCACCCCUUCUCCGCCUCGUCUGCCUUCUGGCUGCUUCCACCAGUGAAAUUUAUGUAGUCUACAAGGGUUUCGAGAAGAAAAGAAGGACCCAAACACAAAG